AACCUGCCCAUUGAAGAUUUAAAAGGCUGCGGUAUAUUGACCGUACAAAGGUAGCAUAAUCAAUAGUUUUUUAAUUGAAAACUUGUAUGAAAGGUUUAAUGAGAUAUUUACUGUUUCAUAAAAAUUUUAAUAAAAAUUAAUUUUUUAGUUAAAAAGCUAAAAUGAAUUUAAAAGACGAGAAGACCCUAUAGAGUUUUAUAUAGUAUAAAAUAUUAUAUUUUUGAUUUUAAAAUUUUAUUUUUAUUAUAUUUUAUUGGGGUGAUAAUAAAAUUUUAAAAUCUUUUAUUUAUUAUAAUCAAUGAUUUUUGAUUAAUUGAUCUUUUAUUAUUGAUUAUAAGAUUAAAUUACCUUAGGGAUAACAGCGUAAUUUUUUUAGAGAGUUCAUAUCGAUAAAAAUUUU
rnacentral:rRNA from 1 species